CCUCAGUUUCUUCCAUUCGUGCUUCACUGAACAUGGUUUCCAAAUCCUUCCUCCUCGGAGUGUCCCUCCCCUGGAUCCGAUCCAGCUGCCCGGGGGCCCAUUUAAAUGAUUCUCUGAACGCUUGGGCUGACAACUCGACUUCUACUUCCCAAGUGAUUGCAGCAGGAGGAGACAGGCUACGAGCCUUUGUCUGCACAACCCAACAGGUGCCCAAGACACCUGAGAAUCCGGCCGAAGAGAAGCAUUUUAAGAUCGGCCUGUGGCUUCGGGCAGACGGGCACUGGCCAGGAGCUGAGCUGGCAGCAGCCGGAGAAGGAGGGGGGAGGGAAGAGGAAAGGAGAAGCAGAAACUGGUGAAUGAACGAAUACAAGAGUGUCAUUGUGAUGAUCACAGCCCUGGUUAGGACACUGGAGUGAAGGUCUGGGAUGGUGUGUUGCACAAUUUGAACUUCUGAAGCAAUGGGCUCUGCCAGGGAACUUCCUCCCGACUCAUUCCGUUUGAUGUGGGAAGCAAAGUAAAGGUUACAGUUCAUUUUGAGAAGAGAGUGAAUUUGAUGGUCUUCAUGCUGAAUCGAAACUCUCUUCUCCCUCUUCCACCGCGCAGUCUCAGAGAUGGCUUUUUCUUCCUACACUGGAUGGACCUCAGCUGCAGCUUGAGGGGUCCGAACAUACCAGUAUCAGCCAAAAUGACACCCACUAACUUCUACUCCAAACCAAUUUCUUCUCCACUAACUUUUUUUUUUUUUUUUUUGUGGUACACGGGCCUCUCACUGUUGUGGCCUCUCCCGUUGCGGAGCACAGGCUCCGGACGCGCAGGCCCAGCGGCCAUGGCUCACGGGCCCAGCCGCUCCGCGGCAUGUGGGAUCUUCCCGGACCGGGGCACGAACCCGUGUCCCCUGCAUCGGCAGGCGGACUCUCAACCACUGCGCCACCAGGGAAGCCCUCCACUAACUUUUUAAAAGC